rnacentral:misc_RNA from 1 species
GAUGAAGAACGUAGCGAAAUGCGAUAAGUAGUGUGAAUUGCAGAAUUCAGUGAAUCAUCGAAUCUUUGAACGCACAUUGCGCCCCCUGGUAUUCCGGGGGGCAUGCCUGUUCGAGCGACAUUUCACCACUCAAGCCUCGCUUGGUAUUGGGCAACGCGGUCCGCCGCGUGCCUCAAAUCGACCGGCUGGGUCUUCUGUCCCCUAAGCGUUGUGGAAACUAUUCGCUAAAGGGUGUUCGGGAGGCUACGCCGUAAAACAACCCCAUUUCUAAGGUUGACCUCGGAUCAGGUAGGGAUACCCGCUGAACUUAAGCAUAUCAAUAAGCGGAGGA